UACAGCCACAUCAUGUUGAAACACUGGUUCCCAUAUGUUCACUGUAGUUAAGCAAUGUUGAGCCUAGUCAGUACCUAGAUGGGUGAUUGUUUGUGAAUAACAGGUGCUGUAA